UCUCACUCCCAAUUUUUAUUCCCAAAGCGCACAUUCUUAUCUCACUCCCAAUUCACAAGCAUUUACAAUUUCAAAACCAUUUUAUUUCAUUGGUCAAGAGAUCAAAUCAAUAAAUCAUUUCAUUUAAACAAAUCAAACCAUCAAAUUCAUUUGCAAAGCGCAAAUUCAAUUAGCAAAGCACACUUUAACUUUUAAUGCACAAUUUAAAAUCCAAACAUAUAUACAUAUACAUAUUACUUGACACACAAAAUACAUUUUCAAACACAAAAUACAUUUGCAUCAGCCAUGGAGCUCUACGCGGACAGGGAGGAGAGAAGCGACAGAGAAGAGCAAGACAGCAACAAAACCAUUAACGAGGACAUCGUCCAUCAUCCAUUUUCACCGGCGGCGAGCCGACUGAGGCAACGACACAGUUCCUCGCCAAAAAUGAGUAAGAAAAUCCAACAGGGUGAAGUUAGGGUUAAUAAUUUGGGGUUUUCUAAUUGAAUUAGAUUUAAUUACUUAGAAGGGUGGAUUUGAGUAGAUACCCAUUUGGAGAUACAGGGAGCGCAACCAUCGCCGCCAUUAGCGACAACGAGCAAAGAAAAAGGGCGAGAAGGGAGGCAGAGCCAUACCAACACCCGCAAUAACACAUCAACCAUAACAAAAAUAUCAACAACCAGAUUCAGCGGCGCCGAAAGGAAGAAGAUGGUGGCCGGCGAUGCAGAGGAACAAGGAUGAGAGAGAUUUGCAUAAGGAUGAGAGUGAGAAGGGAGGUCGGGGAUGGAGAGCAAGAGAGGGAGUAGGAUGAGACCGAGAGAGUGAGUAAUGGGAAGGGUCUCCGAGGAAGUCUUUGUCACAAAUGACUUGUGUCCAUAUUGGACACAAGUGAGUACCAAUAUAGAAUUUGGAGUACCAAUACAGAAUAGGUUAGUACCAAUACAAAUUAUGUGAAUACCAAUAAUAACACAUAUGACUUAUAUUGGUGGUAUUUCUAAACAAUUUUGCAUUUUGAUACUGACCUAUUAUGUAUUGGUACUCAAGAUGAUUGUAUUUGGAUCACUUGUGUCCACAUGGACACAAGUCACUUGAGGUUUAGAAACCCUCAGGGUCUCCAAAUUUUUUUAGAGUAAAUAACAAAAAAAAUGAAAUGUUAGCUCCCUCUAGUGACAACAUGUGGAAGCAGGAAUUAGGGAACAAUUAGAAUUACUUGAUUUAAUAAAAUAAAAUAUGAUCAUCCUAAUUAAAGAAGAUAAUAUUAAUCAACUCUAAUUUUGAGAAUCUCUAUUAUAUAAAGGAACAGCUGAGGGCAUAAUAGUAAAAUAACUUUUCGUGUCCCUUGUGAAUUGACGAAAUUACCCCCUAAUUAAACCCCCCCACCCUUUCACUCUCACACUCUCACUGAGUCUCGCACAUACCUCUCUUUCUCUCUCCUAGGUCUUCGGCGUCCCUAACCUCCCUCAACCUCCCUCCCGUUUUCUCUCUCCUUCCUCUUCAUCUUCUUCGAUCUUCUUCCUCUAAUCCUCUUCCACCAAACCCCAUCCUCCAUUCCAAACCCUAAAUAUUUCGUGUUUCUUUCACCGCACACGCAGACUCUCUCUCCUCCGCCUCUCGCCUUCGCCACCGCCAUCACCAUCACCAUCACCAUUAACGUCUGAUCUUCUGGAGAUCCGGGUGAGAUAACUCGCCGUUUUUCCGUUCUAUUCUCUUCUCAAAGAUUCGGUAAAUUCGGAUUAAAACUUAUGUUCUUAUUCGUUUGAUCUUUGUGUUAUUGAGGUUUUUUAAUCAUCAAUUGGUGGAGAUGGAGAUGGAGGCGGCAUCGGUCGGCCCUUUUCACGUUGAAUCUCUUCAAAAAUCAAAACCCUCAUCAUCAUCUAACCGAAGGAGGCGGCAUCGGUCGAUUAAUUAGGGUUUCAAAACCCUCACGUUGAUUAUUUUUGGGUGAAGUUUUUACUGAGGCAAUGGCUUCUUCAUCAGGACUGGAAUUCCAAUUGCACUCUUUUGGUUUGUGCAUUUCGGAAUAGGCCAAAGUUCCGGCAAGUUGAAGCAGAUGGUGGAACAAUUGUUUCAAAGGUUUUCACCUUUAUCUUGGUUUUAGAAAUCUGAUUUGCAGCCUUCAGAUCAUCAAAACAAGUAAGAUGUGGGUGUUUCAUCUACGCAACGAUGUGAAACAGAGGAUCAGGUUAUCGAUCGAUUAGGGUUUGAGGGUUUGAUGGAUUUUGUCAAGGUUUUGGAGGGAAAGAUUAAUUUGGUGGAUCAGAGAAUUAAUCAGAUGCGAUUAAAUUGUAAUAAUAAUAACAAUUCUCUUGGUUUUAGUCAUAAGAUUAUGUUGGAUUGUUUUAAGGGUCCUGAUCCUGAUAUGGGUUUUGUUGGUUGGAAGGAGUAAUCAGGUGUGGUUGGAUUCACCAUAUGAUUGUCAUUAUCAAUCUAACGGUAUGAUUAACGAUAUUACGGGUUUAAAUGGUGUUGAGGCUCAAAUUUUUGCGAGAAAGAUGGAUUUGAUUGAUGAAAGGAAUAAUCAGAUGGAUUUGAUUGAUGGUUUUCUCAAGUGGACCUCAUAAUCCUAGCAUUAUUGUAGCUGCAACACUGUCGAAAAUGAACAGAAUGAGAGAUGUCAAAAUGUCGAGUGACAAGUCGAAGCUAAAGAGACAGAAUAGUCGUUGUACUCGCAAUCAAGUCUUAUUUUUAUACUCAAUUUCUAUUUUUACUCACAAUCAAGUCUCAUAAUCGUAGCAUUUUGUUUUCUGUAGUAUUUUUUUGUACUCUCAAUCAAUUUAAGAGGUUUGUGACAAUAUAUCCAU